GCGUCCGUAGCUCAGUUGGUUAGAGCACCACCUUGACAUGGUGGGGGUCGGUAUUUCGAGUCUACUCGGACGCACCA
rnacentral:tRNA from 1 species